GAUGAACGCUGGCGGCGUGCCUAAUACAUGCAAGUCGAGCGAGCAGAUAAGGAGCUUGCUCCUUUGAAGUUAGCGGCGGACGGGUGAGUAACACGUGGGUAACCUACCUAUAAGACUGGGAUAACUUCGGGAAACCGGAGCUAAUACCGGAUAACAUUUAGAACCGCAUGGUUCUAAAGUGAAAGAUGGUUUUGCUAUCACUUAUAGAUGGACCCGCGCCGUAUUAGCUAGUUGGUAAGGUAACGGCUUACCAAGGCGACGAUACGUAGCCGACCUGAGAGGGUGAUCGGCCACACUGGAACUGAGACACGGUCCAGACUCCUACGGGAGGCAGCAGUAGGGAAUCUUCCGCAAUGGGCGAAAGCCUGACGGAGCAACGCCGCGUGAGUGAUGAAGGGUUUCGGCUCGUAAAACUCUGUUAUUAGGGAAGAACAAAUGUGUAAGUAACUGUGCACAUCUUGACGGUACCUAAUCAGAAAGCCACGGCUAACUACGUG
rnacentral:rRNA from 1 species